rnacentral:rRNA from 1 species
UGGGGAAUUUUGGACAAUGGGCGAAAGCCUGAUCCAGCAAUGCCGCGUGUGUGAAGAAGGCCUUCGGGUUGUAAAGCACUUUUGUCCGGAAAGAAAUCCUUGGCUCUAAUACAGUCGGGGGAUGACGGUACCGGAAGAAUAAGCACCGGCUAACUACGUGCCAGCAGCCGCGGUAAUACGUAGGGUGCAAGCGUUAAUCGGAANUUACUGGGCGUAAAGCGUGCGCAGGCGGUUUGCUAAGACCGGAUGUGAAAUCCCCGGGCUCAACCUGGGGAACUGCAUUGGUGACUGGCAGGCUAGAGUAUGGCAGAGGGGGGUAAAUUCCACGUGUAGCAGUGAAAUGCGUGGAGAUGUGGAGGAAUACCGAUGGCGAAGGCAGCCCCCUGGGCCAAUANUGACGCUCAUGCACGAAAGCGUGGGGAGCAAACAGGAUUAGAUACCC